AGGGAGGUAUGCGCUGGCAGAGCAGGGCUUUCCUCGGGAGGUCUGAACCCAGAGAAGGGCUUCUGGAUCUCUCAUUCAGGGUUUUUCACAAGCUAGAAUUCCUGGUACUUUUCACUGGAGUGCCUUUUUGAAAGUGUGAGCGAUUUCGCACAUCUGUCCUUUCUUCAAGCCAUGCAAUUUCCGAGGGAAGGGCUGUUCCCAGUAACAGCAAACUGGGGCGUUAGGACUGCUCAACAUUUGGCCAGGUCAGGGAUACAAAAUGUCUCUUGGGAUUUUGCUGGAUGUGGAAGAGAAACUUCAGCAAAGCAUUUGGUCUUCGUUGGAACUUGAGUUUGUUAGGAGUUGGAAGAUAAAGAAGAAAGAACCAGCACGAAUCAGAGCCUCACUUUGCAAGAAGGGGUCUAAAGGAGAUAAAUGAUGUUGCAAACUCCAGUCUUCCAACUGUGUGGAGAAACUGGCUCCCCAGAGAGAAGAUGGGGCCCAUAGGACAUGCUAGCGUGGGGCGUGCUUGGCAAACAGAAGGUCUCAGCUUUCUUCUCCUUUGGGGUCUGACAAUGAAAGAGCACACUUGCUUUGUGAGCUGCUGCUGAGUCGUGACGUCAUGAUACGUGGGGUGCUGUCUAAUUCUCAUUAGAAGGCUACAUACUCGCUUUUUGGACGUAUGCGUGACACGACACAGGCUCUGGGGAGACGACUCUACCACAGAAUCUCAGAGAGGGAAGAGGAGAACACAGCCUAGGGCAUCGUUUUUCCAACCGGCUCAUUUAAGGAUGUAAGGUCUCCUCCAGCCUUAAGUUCUUUAGGAUUUGGUACACACCUAAGUCCCUAACAUCUUUGUAGUGCUGCAUCCCGCAGGUGUGUGAUAGAGUCUGGACCACUGACAUCGGAUGAUGGCCCUGGUGGCCCACACGGGACACGCCAUGCUCUCUCUCUGCAGUGGGACUUGGCAGCUCUUCUCAUCAAACAGCGGGAUAUAACCCCCCAGCUCUUGAAUCAAGGAAACUCUUGUGACUUUCUUUGGCCAAUAAAACCCACCAUAUGACAUACCAGUUCUCAAGAGGACAUGCUAAUUUCAGUUCUCUGUCUUGGACCUGUCUCUGCCAUAGAAUAAAACCAGGCUACCUUCCUGGAGGAUGAGAGCUCAUGUGAAAUAGAACUGGGUGACCCUGCUGAGGCCACCUGAGACCAGCCCUCCCACAGUCCACCCUCGGGUGAAGCUGGGAUCCCUGAGCUCAGGCCCGAUCAUCAGAACCUCCCAGCUGACCCACAGACUCAUGAACACAACUCUGGGGUUUUGUGGUGGUUUGUCACCUGGCAUUAUUGUAGUAAUAGGCACUGAUACAGCUACAUAACAGGUACCUUUCCUACAACUUCUCUUGCCUUCUGAGACUCGGGAUACAACGAGAGCUCUGCAGUUAGCCAGUCAUGUGAUCUUCUGCAGUUUCCUAACCCCUGAGCCUGUAAAACUGGUGAUACAUUAGGACCACAGACAUUCACGCCCAUGGUCAGAACCCUACAAAUGUUACCUAUUAAACACAACACAGCUGCGAGGUCAAAAUUGUAAGUCCACUUUCUGGAUAUCUGGGGCCCAGAGAUAAGAAGCCACAUUCAAGGCCACGUCACUGUUGUUAAUUUCAUAUAUGACAGAGAGAAAAAUACAUUUGCCCAAACCCAGGAAAGGGCCUAGUGAGACGGAAUUCCCAGGGUAGUGAAAACGUGGUAAAUCUCAAGGGAUGUCUAGGAUUCUUUGAACCAUAAUUGUGUGGCAAAUAAAUGCGUGUUGUCUCUGGGGCUCUGACAUUAGUCCUGCCCGUUUCUGAUCCCAGGAGCAGACACUGAAUUCCUUUUUGACAGUUUCUACGGAGGCAGCCAACAACAGUGCAAAGCGAAAGCUGACAUGGGGAAAAUCAUGGAACACAAUAAAAGGGAGAUGGGGCUCCAUCAACGGUCACUUGUAUUAGUUUCAAACUGGGAGUGGGGGAGGGGACAAGAAAGGAGGGCCGUGAGGAGUCAAGGGACUUCACUUUGUCCUGGAAACCUCCCUCCUGGUUACAGCCAGUGGCCGUGUGGCCACCGAUGUCCUAGGUCAAGGAGUUCAGGUUUCGGGAUGUUCGGAGUUGCACCUAACAAGGAGGGCUGCAUUAGAAUCACGUGAAAACUGCCAUGGUUCUGGAAAAUCGUUGUGUUGCAUCGGUUUACACAACUGCUGCACCGCUGAUGAGUAACUGCCUGGCCCGGGGGCUCUGACCGGACGACGGGGUGAUUCAGUGGGACGUGAUUUUCUGACCACGGAAGUGCCACACCACGCACACUGCCGACUGGCUGGGUUUUCUGCUCUGAGAACAGAUUCCAGAGCAAACACUGGCUGGGGGCUCCCGACAUGCCCCAUAUGCUCCCAACUACCUUACACAGAGUUAGUCCUCUUCCUUGCUAACGGUCUUUGAGUUGGGCAUUGUCACUGUCCUCGUUACACAGAUGGGGAACCUGAGCAUGUGGGGACAUGGACAGUGAGUGGCCAUGCCCGGAUUCCAGCCCAGAAAGUCUGGUUCCAAGCUGUAUGCCUGUUGACAGUGUUAACUGGGUUUUUAUAACCAUGCUUUAAUUUUCAAUGUCACCAUCUGAGGAACGUGUUGUGUAGAGUGGGGAGCGUGAACAGCUCUUCCACACAGGGCAGAAAGUGGGGGGACACGGUGAGAGCCAUUUUGGAUCAAAUGAUAAGGAGCUUUAGAAAUUACUGCCAAUCGUAAGGAUCAGGAGUGCCUUUUUGGAAGAAGCAGCUCAAAGUUUGGUCCUGAAGAAAGCAGGGAGGGAUUUGCAAGGGUAGAGGAUGAGGGGAAGGAAAUUCGAGGCAGAGGGAAAAACAGAAACAGACUGAGCGGGAGGGAGGCUUAGGGGGGACCUGAGCAGUUUUGAUCUGCUGAAGCUGAAGAUGGGGAGGCAGCGUGGGGUCAGUGAGGCUCAGAAUGCUGGAUUAUGUAAUGCUGUAGAGACUGCUGGACUGUUGGAGUUGACUUAUCAGAAGAACGAGGAGACAGGAGAGAUCUAUGAGCAGGAGUUUGGAAUGAUUGGCAAAUUCCUGCAGAAGACUGACUCGGCAGGCUUCCGUCUCUUGUGAUGAUGUGUGGGAAGCACUGCCGCGGGGAGAGACCGGGGGCGCGCAGACCAGCAAGGGGCCGGGAACAGUAACUGACGUUUGGGGCACUACUGGCAUUCUGGACGGGACAUUCCUUCCUUAUAAGAGACCUCCCUGAACGUCACAGGGUUUUACCAUCUUUGGGUUUCAGAUAGUCACUGUGGGUAGUGGCCCCCUCCAGCCAUCACUGCAACAAACAGAAGCAUCUCAUCUUCUCCAAGUGCCUCCUGCCAUUAGAUUAGAAACAUCUGGCCCCGGAACUAACAGGAAAUAAAGAGGAGAUGACAGAGAUGAGGAAGUGACACUGCUUUGGAAAACUGUCUGGGUUUUUACAGGGGUUGGGGAAGACUGAUCUCAAUGGGGUAAUUGAGAGGCCAUCCUAAAGAAAUAGCUUCAGAAAUGGAUGGAAUAGGGACACCUGGGUGGCUCAGUGGGUUAAGCCUCUGCCAUCUGCUCAGGUCAUGGUCCUAGGGUCCUAGCAUCGAGUCUCACAUCAGGCUUGUUGCUCAGCAGAGAGCCUGCUUCUCCCUCUGCCUGCCACUCCCCCUGUGUGCGCGCUCUAACAAAUAAAUAAAAUCUUAAAAAAAAAAAAAAAAAAAAGAAGUGGACAGAAUAAAAAAUCCACAGGGAAAACCAAAGUUUUCAUCCUGAGUCCUCAUCCUCUCCAACAAUUCUGUGUUAAAAUAUUUUGUCGGGCCGCCUGCGUGGCUCAGUUGUUGAGCAUCUGCCUUCAGUUAGGUCAUGAUCCCAGGGUCCUGGGAUCGAGCCCCACAUAGGGUUCUCUGGUCGGCGGGAAGCCUGCUUCUCCCUCUCCCACUCCCCCUGCUUGUCUUCACUCUCUUGCUAUGUCUCUCUCUGUCAAAUAAAUAAAAUAUUUUUUAAAAAUUGAAAAAAAUUGUCUCAAAAGAUGUAUAAAAGGGGCAGGCACCAAACCCUACCACAGAGGGAAUUUCUGCCAAAUGUUGAACUCUGUUCUUGUAAUAUCCUUUCGGAGCUCUGAAAAACUGCAGUGUGGACCAACACCCUUUUUCUAGCCAAACGACCUGGAAUUAACAGCUCUCAGUUGCUUCACCACCGUUGCCAAAUUUUGGGUGAGCUAUGAUGUAUUCAGUAAGACAGUUUACUUCUGUCAAAGACAAAUGAUGACAUUUGUGAUAAGUUAAGUAUAGCUUGAUUUAUUAUAAUUAAAACAUAUCAAUUAAGUGCUGGCCUCCAUGAUUAUCUGAGUUAAUAUAUACUUUUAUUUUGGUUUGAUUUACAGGUACACCUCACUUUACUCAGAAAUAAUGUAUUUUUUACCAAUGGAAUAGAGUUGAGUUAGAAGGUUCAUCUUCCAACUGACAGCUGUGUCCUUAGACAAGUCACUUUAGUUUUUCUAUUGCAAAUUGGCAUCAAUGAGACCUUACCUGCUCCUCAGGACUG